ensembl:lncRNA
UUUUUGUUUUUUUUUUUUUUUAAAUAGUCAUUAAGUAUAAAUGUGUGUUUUUUCUUACCAGAAUGAAAACUUCUGAGAAUGGGAGGAUAAAGAUGUUGUGUUAGGGAGACUAAUGCCCAACAAUGUAUCUAAACCAACUUUUUGGCUGCGCCCACAGUAUAUGGAAGUUCUCAGGCCAGAGAUCUAGCCACAGCAGUGACCAGGUCACUGUAGCAGUAAUGCCAGCUCCUUAAGACUCUGUGCCACAAGGAGACAACUUUAAAUAAUUCACCUUUUUGUAGAUCAUACAGCAUCUUGGCUUAUUUUGAGAUUUCUAGACUAUGUUGUAUCCAUUUUUUUCCCCCUCUGCCUGGGAUGUAGCCCAGGUCAAGGGUUUGACCAGUUUGGAGGCAUCAUCUUCAGUCUCAAGAUCCCUUCCAUAUCCUCCUUUUUUAAUUUUAUUUUACUUUUUUGCUUUUUAGGGCCACACCCACAGCAUAUGGAGGUUCUCAGGCUACGCCACAGCAACUCGGGAUCCAAGUCACAUUUGUGACCUGCACCACAGCUCUCAGCCACGCUGGCUCCUUAACCCACUGGGUGAGACCAGGGAUCGCACCCACAACCUCAUGGUUCCUAGUUGGAUUUGUUUCCACUGCGCCACAACGGGAACUCCUCUGGUUCUUUUGUAUGAAGGUUUUCACAUGUACUUCAAGAGAACGAUCUGUGAACACCUUGAGUAGGGUGUCCCGUGACAGUAAGGCUGGCUUUGCUGUUUGCACAGCUGGAUCUGAGCAGACAUUGAAUGUGGUCAUUUCUUUGAAAAGUAGCUUUAUCUGAUCAAAGCCAUGCCUUGUAGAAAAUUUAGAAAAUGUGAAGCUCUGGAAGAAACUGAAAAGACAAAUAAAAAUUACCCACAAUCCCAUCCUGACAUUUGGAAAUUCUAACAGACGUUAUUUUCCUCUUUUCUGUGAAUUUGCCCCACCACUCCCAACACAUUAAGUUGGCAUUACAUUAUUAUAACACCCACUUAGAUAUGUACUAUGAGUAUUUUCCUGUGUGCGUUUUUGUUUGUUUCUUUGGUUUUUUUGUUUUGUUUUUUGGCUGCAUCUGCAGCACACUAGAGUUCCAGGGCCAAGGAUGGAACCUGUGCCACUGCAGUGACUGGAGCCAUAGCAGUGACAAUGCUGGAUCCUUAACCUGCUGGGCCAUCAGGGAACCUCAUUUUCUUGGGUUCUUAAAGCUUCUUGAAAAUCAUUUCUGUUUAAUAGUCCAUUCAUAGACAUUUUUUCCCCCCCUCUUAUUUUUAUUUUUUUGGCCACCCUGAGGCAUAUGGAGUUCCCAGGCCAGGGAUCAGAUGCAAGUCACAGUUGUGACCUAUGCCACAGCUUCAGCAACGCCAGAUCCUUAACCCAUUGUGCCUGGCUGGGGAUGAAACCUGUGUCCCAGCGCUCCCAGGACUCUGCCAAUCUGGUUGUGUUGCAGUGGGACUCCCAUUCAGCAGAUGCUUUUUUGAGUACUUUUUGAGCACUCAGAUAGCCUUUUGUUCUUGGACGUGAGAGGGCAAGGGGCUUGAGGGGGUAGGAGAUGAGCACAGAUGGAAUAAAUAGCAUAGUUUUUUUAAAUGGUACUUAUUAUGAAGGAACACGUUGGUUAGUGGUGAGGGCUCAGGUAGGCCUCCUAGAUCGUCUAGUUUGGUAGUGCCUCUUUUUUUUUUUUUUGUCUUUUUGCCAUUUCUUGGGCCGAUCCUGUGGCAUAUGGAGGUUCCCAGGCUAGGGGUCUAAUCGGAGCUGUAGCUGCCGGCCUACACCAGAGCCACAGCAACUCGGAGCCGAGCCUGCAACCUACAGCACAGCUCACGGCAACUCCGGAUCCUUAACCCACUGAGCAAGGCCAGGGAUCGAACCUGCAACCUCAUGGUUCCUAGUCGGAUUCGUUAAUCACUGAGCUACGACAGGAACCUCCAGGUAAUUCCUCUUUGGGAGGUAAAUAACUACGGGGAUGAACAUGUAGUGAUCUAGGAACAGUGUGCCAUGGAGGAGGAACAGCAAAUGCAAGGGCCCUAAGGUGAGACGUGUAGCUGGUUGGAAGAACAGAAAGAAGGGCAGUGUGUUUGGAGUCUAGGAUUGUUUUUGAUAGUUUGAAGGAUUUUGGCUUGAGCCUCUGGGUUCAGUGUGCAUUGGGGUUGAACUGCCGCGUGUCUAACCACUGUGGUGUGGAAUGUUUGGGUUACUUGCUGUUUAAUAAUGCUCUUAGGAAGGCCAUUGUAUGGAAAUCCUUGAACGGAUAUGGUUUCCUUGGGAUAGGUUACUGGCAACAAAAUGACUGCACCAGAAGAGUUUUUAACCCAAAGGUUAACAAGGGGUGGGGUUUAAACUUAGCUUACAAACAUCCAGUCAAGGUCUUGGUGUGCAAGGGUCUAAUAGUGCUCCUAAAGGUGCUACUUGCCUCAUGUACUUUGUGGCUUACCAAAUAUGUAAGUACAGAUACAGCUGCAUAGACACUUGUACAUAUGUACUUACUUGUUUUGCUAAUUAGAGAAAUAGUUUGUGUUACAGGUUUAGAAUUCCAAGAAAGAUGAAGAAGCAAAAACCUGUAAUCCCACUAACUAGGAGGAAAAAAAAUACUGUUAAUUAAUUGAUUAGUUAAUUUUUAUGGCCGAACCCAAGGCAUUCGGAGGUUCCCAUGCUAGGGGUCGAAUCGGAGAUGUAGCUGCCGGCCUACCCCACAGCCACGGCAAUGCAGGAUCCGAGCCACGUCUGUGAGCUAUACCACAGCUCCCAGCCAUGCUGGAUUCUUAACCCACUGAGUGAGGCCAGGGAUCCAACCUGAGUCCUUAGGGAUACUAGUUGGGUUCAUUACCGCUGAGGCACAAUGGGAACUCCUGUUAAUACUUUUAUAUGCAGUAUAUAUCUUCCAGGCAGUUUUUGAAGAAUGUAUUAUGUAUCACUGUUUUGAAAAUUGCUUGUUUUAUCUCGCAAUAUAUCAUUUAAUAUUUGCCAGUGUUGUUAUGUCUGUUCUUUAAUGUGAGUUUCAUGCUUUCUACUAUUUCAAUGUAAUUUUGAUUCCACUUCUGAUGCAGAUGGUAAAAUUUUCAAAUGCUACACCAGGAAUGGAGCGGAAAAUUUCUCUCCCAUUGCUGACCUCUGGUUCCACAGCUGCUUUCCACAGGGAUGCUUGGUUUUAACUUUUCUUGGAUGUUCAUCCAAAGAAUUUGUGCAAACAUGUAUCUCACAGGCGUGUGUAGAGCGGUGCCUCCUUUUUUUUUUUUUUUUUUUAAGUAUAAAGUUAUAAUGUUCUUCUGUAUUUCUUUUUUUUAAAACUUAGCGCUAUAGGUUGGAUAUGGGUUUCUACUGGCACAUAUCAACCUUAUUACAUUCUUUAAAAAAGAAUGGCUGCAUAGUCUUUUAUUUAUUGUACAACUGUACUAUUGUUUCUUUAACCAGCGAUUCUCAGCUGUUUUGGUCUCAGGGUCUUUUAGCCCCUUUAAAAAAUCAUUGAAACUAUAAUAGAAAACAUAAAAAUCUUGCAAAUCUCCCUCCAAAACCAACCAACCAAACAAAUAAAAAUCAUUGAGGCGGUCCCGCUGUGGCACAGUGGAUUCAGACUCCGACUACAACAGAGGUGCAAGUUUGAUCCCUGGUUCAGGGCAGUGGGUUAAAGGAUUGCGCGUUGCCGCAGUUGUGGCAUGGGUCCCAGCUGUGUCUUGGGGAUUCGGCAUUGCCACAGCUGUGGCAUAGGUCACAACUCUGUCUUGGAUUUAGUCCCUGGGAACCUCCAUAUGCAGACGGUGCAGCCAUUUAAAAAAAAAAAAAGAAAGAAAAAAA